ensembl:lncRNA
GAGAGGGAGAGAGAGAGGGAGAGAGAGAGGGAGUUGAGAGAGAGAGGUUAGAGACAGAGAGAGAGAGAGGGAGAGAGAGAGGGAAUUGAGAGAGAGAGGUUAGAGACAGAGAGUGAGGGGAAGGAAACACUACAUAAAGAGACAGAAGAGAGCCCUUCCUGGAACUCUCCAGUCCUCUCUGACUGCCGUCGCUCGCUGAGGGAGAAAGACAGCAGUGUUUUAAAGAGGAACAGAGUACCUGGUUGUCAUUCUGCUGAGGGCUGAGACAAACAGAGGAGAAGAAGACAUGUCUGGUCAUUUACUAAGGAGAAACUCCAGCAAGGAAGGUCUGCAGAACCUGCUCAGGGUGACGGCCCAGCGCAGUAUUGAGGAUGCUGAGGAGAUAGAGCGGGAACGGAGACGAAGGGCCAGGGAGAGACAGGGAGACCAGGACCCACACACCCACACUGGCCCAGCCAGCACCACCAGCCCCACACCAGACAAUGGGCUCCCGGAGCUAUAUCCAAUGUGUGAGAGUGAACUGAAGGCUAGUGGCUGCCAGUUGGCUCUGGAGGAGGACGAGGGCUUCAGUGACUGGACCCAGAGGUUGGAGAAACGCAGACAGCGCCACCUGGAGGAACAGGAGUCCUCGGAGGACCAUCAGCCCCAGCAGCAGCAGAAUCAACCCCAGCAGCAUCACCCCCAGCAACAGCAUCAACCCCAGCAGCAUCACCCCAGCAACAGCAUCACCCCCAGCAGCAUCACCCCCAGCAGCAGCAGCAGCAGCCCCAGCUGCUCAGGCUAAACAGAGCCUCCCCAAUCAGACCCUGCUUGAAGACACGUCCUGGUCCUGGGCCCGAGGAGAGGGAGGAGAAGGAGGUAGAGUGGGAACGAAAAGCCAGCAACAAGACACAAGACACUUCAAGAAGAGUAACAGAGGACAAGGUCGUGGAGAAGAAGAAAUCUGAGCUGAAGAUCUCCUACACCUCUAAAGUCAUGAGACACGUCAACAGCAACGGGGAAGCAGCUGGAGCGGAAGUGACCUCAUACCUAGUUGCAGGGAAACUGUCUCCAAGGAAAGCUCACCUGCAACACGACGAUCAAAUUAAAAUGUAUGGG